UACUGUAUUUGUGUUGUAGAUGUAGUGUAAUGGUACUGUAACCUGCUGUAAGACAAUGGUGAGCCGCGUGAGGCUACAGUACUGUAAGGUGAUCCUUGUCACCUCCAUGGUCUGGUUCCUCAUCGAUGUCUUCAUCCUUAUGUACUAUACUGACUGUGCGGCCAUGGGAUCAGGCGCAGAAUGCAAGGGAAAAAAUGAUAACCAGCCACGUAUGGAUGAUAAACACCGGGGCAGUGAUGAGGGGUUCCUAGGCAAGCUCCUACCUAAAGGAUUAAUACAGCGACCUCCCACUGGCCCAGGGGAGAUGGGCAAGGGUGUGGUCGUACCCUCUGACAGACAGAGCGAGGCCAAGGAAAAGUUUAAAAUCAACCAGUUUAAUCUGGUGGCCAGUGACAUGAUGUCACUCAACCGGUCUCUCCCUGACUACAGGAUGGACGCGUGUAAAAGGAAAAAGUAUGCUCCAGUGGCUGACCUACCCACCACCAGUAUAGUAAUUGUGUUCCACAAUGAGGCUUGGUCCACCCUCCUACGUACGGUACACAGUAUCAUCAACCGUUCACCACCUCGCCUCCUUAAGGAGAUCAUCUUGGUGGACGAUGCCAGUGAGCGAGAAGAACUUGGCAGGAAGCUUGAGAAGUAUAUAGCAACCUUGUCCGUAAGCACCAAGGUCAUGAGAUCAGAGGCGAGGAAUGGACUGAUCCGGGCAAGACUAACAGGAGCGGCGGCUGCUAAGGGAGAUGUAAUAACAUUCCUAGACGCUCAUUGUGAGUGCACGGAGGGCUGGCUAGAGCCUCUUUUAGCCGAGAUCCACAAGGACAGGACAUCUGUGGUGUGCCCUAUCAUUGAUGUGAUCAGUGAUGAUACCUUUGAGUAUAUCACAGGGUCGGACAUGACAUGGGGAGGCUUUAACUGGAAGCUCAACUUCAGAUGGUAUCCAGUUCCUCAGAGGGAACUGGACCGACGAAAUGGAGACCGCAGUAACCCCACAAAAACCCCCACAAUGGCCGGUGGACUAUUCGCCAUUGACAGAAGUUACUUCUAUGAAGUUGGUUCCUAUGAUGAAGGCAUGGAUAUAUGGGGUGGGGAGAACUUGGAGAUGUCCUUCCGAGUGUGGAUGUGUGGGGGCCAGGUGUUUAUUGUGACCUGCUCCAGGGUCGGACAUGUGUUCAGAAAGACCUCGCCCUACUCCUGGCCAGGGGGCGUGGCACGUAUUAUCAACCAUAACACACAGCGCAUUGUAGAGGUGUGGAUGGAUGAAUACAAAGAGUUCUUCUAUAAAAUAAAUCCAGCGGUGAAGAGCACCAGUUAUGGGGAUGUGACAGCCAGAAAGGACAUGAGGAAGAAGGCAAAUUGUAAAAGUUUCCGCUGGUACCUGGAGAACGUGUAUCCAGAGUCUCAGAUGCCUGUGGACUACUUUGCACUGGGAGAGAUCCGUAACAAAGAGACGGGUCACUGUAUAGACAGUAUGGGAAGGAAGAGUGGGGAGAAAGUCGGCCUCGUCAACUGUCACGGCAUGGGAGGCAACCAGAUAUUUUCUUACACCAAAAAGAAAGCGUUACAAACAGAUGACUUGUGUUUGGAUGUGUCGUCCAUUGGUGGGCCGGUAAAAUUGUUUCAGUGUCAUGGUCUGGGUGGCAACCAGCAGUGGGAAUAUAACGGACAGUCAUUGGAGCUGCGACACAUCAAUAGUAAACAGUGUUUAGGUGCUGCCAAGCCUUCGGACAGGGAGGCGCCAACUAUUGGAGCAUGUGAUGGUAGUGCGACUCAAAAAUGGAUAAUUAAAGACAUGAAAUGGUGAUAUAGGAUGUAGUUUAGGAUUUAAUGUAAAGACAUGUGAUAAAUAAUAAAGCUUGUUAUAUCAAUAACUGCCACACCAGUGAGAAUGGAGACUCCAGACAGUGUUCACUGAUGUGUGGUGCACUGCAAUGUGUUCUUAUUGAUGAUAAUGACAUCAAUUAUCAAACCAAUACCUCGACCAACCCUGGAAAGGAUCAGUGUCAUUGGAGCAGCAGAUGUCAAUGUCAUUGGGCAGGCCAAUGUCGGUGUCAUGUGGCAGGCCAGUGUCAGUGUCAUGGAGCAGGCCAAUGUCAGUGUCAUGGGGCAGGCCAAUGUCAGUGUCAUGGGGCAAGCCAAUGUCAGUGUCAUGGGGCAGGCCAAUGUCAGUGUCAUGGGGCAGGCCAAUGUUUCUGUCACAGGGCGCCGCCUAUGCCAGUGUCAUAGGGCACAUUCAGUGUCAUACGAGGCGGCCAAUGUCGGUGUCACAGGGCACGGCAAAUGUCACUGUCACGGGGCCCAGCUAAUGUCAUUGUCACAGGGCCCAGCCAGUGUAUGUGUCACAGGGCCCAGUCAAUGUCACUGUCACAGGGCAUGGCCAAUUUCACUGUCACAGGGUGCGGCCAAUGUCACUGUCACGGGGCCCAGCUAAUGUCAUUGUCACAGGGCACAGCCAGUGUAUGUGUCACAGGGCCCAGCCAAUGUCACUGUCACAGGGCAUGGGCAAUGUUAGUAUCACUGUCACCGGGCGCUGCCACUGUUGGUGUCACACGAGGUGGCGAACGUCACCGUCACAGGGCUUGGCCGAUUUCACUGUCAUAGGGCGUGGCCAGUGUAUGUGUCUCAGGGCGAGGCCAAUGUCACCGUCACCGGGCAAGGCCAAUGUCAGUGUCACUGUCUUGGGGCGUGGCCAAUGUAAGGAUCACUGGGCGUGGCAGAUAUAGCAGUUGUUGGUUAUGCUAUGUAUAAAAGGAAGAGCUAUAGUUAUGGAUAUAUGCUACCUUACUUUUAUUUGUCUCUCCCUUACAAAAAAGUUUCUCAAUAAAAUAUGUUAACCCAGGUUAUUUGUCAGUAAUGAUUCAGAAAUUCUUAAUUUAUUAGCAACACAUUAAAAUGUACACUAAGAUUGAAUGCAUUUGCUUGAAAUUUUAGAACAUGUUUAAGGGAUUGAAGCAAAAAUUAUAAUUUGUAAGGUAGCAUAUAAACUGAGACUGGUAUGUUGGGAGCCUGCAAAUGCAUAUAAUAAGACAUAGUGAGGUCAAAGCUAGUCAUUAUCCUACUUAAUUAUGUACUGAGUUAUCUUUUACAUAGUCCUAAGGUAGCAAGUCAUUCACAUCCUGUAACAUAUUAUUGUAAGUUAACAAUGAACUUAUAUGAAUGGUGGCAAGUGUUACUGUGGCCGCUGUUCAACUAAGUAUACCCAUUUAGAUCAUUAGAUGCUGCAUAUUUAUGUUUUUAUCAAUUUUAUUGUUGAUUUAUGAUGAUCAGAAACCAUUCCGACAGUUCUGUAAAGCUUGACAAUGACUGACCCUGGUCUGAUCCAGUCUGUUUGAGGAGGUUUCAGGUCUCAUCCAGCAGGUAUCUGGUCAGUAAAAGAAGUAUCUGUUCCAGGAUGGAUCUGGACAGUAUUAGGGGGUCCAGAAUUUAGCAGGUCUGUAUUUGGGGGGUUAACUAUUCCACAAUUUAGCUUGUCUGUAUUAGGGGGUAUCUGUUUCAUAAUUAAGCUGGAUAGUAUUGGGGGGUAUCGGUUCCAGAAUUUACUAGGUCUGUAUUCGGGGGUUAUCUUUUCCAUGAUUUAGCUUGUCUGUAUAAGGUGGUGUCUGUUCUAUAAUUUAGAUAAACAGUAUUAGAGAACAUCUGUUCCACUAUUCAGCAGGUCUGUAUUAGGGGGUCUCUGUUCCACGCAUUUGUUUGUUUGUAAAAGGGGAUUAUCUGUUCCAUGAUUUUCGCUGGUCUGUUCUAGGGGGUAUUUGUUCCAUGAGUUAGCUUGUUUGUAUUUUGGCACAUCUUUUCCGGGAUUGAUCUGGACUGAAUUAGAGGGCAUCUGUUCCAGGAUUGAUCUGUUCCACAAUUCAUCAGGUCUGUAUUAGGGGAUCUCUGUUCCACAAUUCAUCAGGUCUGUAUUAGGGGAUCUCUGUUCCACAAUUCAUCAGGUCUGUAUUAGGGGAUCUCUGUUCCACUAUUCAUCAGGUCUGUAUUAGGGGAUCUCUGUUCCACUAUUCAUCAGGUCUGUAUUAGGGGAUCUCUGUUCCACUAUUCAUCAGGUCUGUAUUAGGGGAUCUCUGUUCCACUAUUCAUCAGGUCUGUAUUAGGGGAUCUCUGUUCCACUAUUUAGCAGGUCUGUAUUAGGGGAUGUCUGUUCCACAAUUCAUCAGGUCUGUAUUAGGGGAUCUCUGUUCCACAAUUCAUCAGGUCUGUAUUAGGGGAUCUCUGUUCCACAAUUCAUCAGGUCUGUAUUAGGGGAUCUCUGUUCCACUAUUCAUCAGGUCUGUAUUAGGGGAUCUCUGUUCCACUAUUCAUCAGGUCUGUAUUGGUGGGGAGGGCAGUUCCAGGAUUAAGCUGACUGUGUUUGGGGGUUGGGGGCGUCUGUUCCAGACAGUAUCUAGUCAGUAUUAGAGGGGUAUCUGUUUCGUGAUUAUCUGGUCUGUAUGAAGGCGAUGGGGAAACUGUGUCGGAUAUCUGCUGCAGGAGGUAUCUGGUCGGUCAUAUUUGUCAUCAAAUAGGGGCGGCUAGUUACCCUAGACUUGAGAUCAGAUUAGGGUCAGUCACCAUAGAUCUGAUCUAUGAUCUGUGAUCCUUGACCUGAGACUAGAUUGUAGUCUAUGACCCUUGACCUGAGAUCAGAUUGAUGUCUAUGACCCUUGACCUGAGAUCAGAUUGAAGUCUAUGACCCUUGACCUGUGCUCAGAUUGAGGUCUAUGACCCUUGACCUGAGAUCAGAUUGUAGUCUAUGACCCUUGACCUGAGAUCAUAUUAGAGUCAGCCAUCCUUGACCUGUGAUCAGAUUGAAGUCUAUGACCCUUGACCUGAAAUCAGAUUAGAGUCGGCCAUCCUUGACUAGAGGUCAGAUUAGUUUGACAUGAGAUAAGACUGCAGUCCGUCAUUGUUGACCUAUGACCAGACUAGAAAUGGUCAAACUUGACCUUAGCUGCAGAGUCAGUCGUUGGCAUUUCAUACCAAGCUUUAUAUGUGGAAAAUCUCAAACCUGAAAUCUUGAGAAUCGGAAAAUUAGUUUUAAACUGAACUUCAGCCAUGUUUAAACUUGUGAACUAUUAUGCUGAAUUGCUUUUCUGAUUGGUUAUAGUGUACACAGGAAAUAUUAAAUGGAAAUUUAAUGGACUUUCUGACAUGAAAUACCCUAUAAUAUAGCUACACAUAAUUUUAACUUAUUGAUUGAGGAUAGCUGGACUGAAUAUUUUAUGAUGUAUGUCUGGAAAACUGAUGAGUCAUAAUACAAUACUUAUUUUUAUAUGAAUUAUGUGCAAGAUGGACAUUUGCUAGCAUCAUCGUUUCAAAUUGAAUGAAAGUGUGUAAGGAUUUGGGUAUGAGAGUGUAUUUGUUUGCAAGGGAUUGAGAAGGGAACCUGAAACAUCAUUGUACUUAAAUUAUAUAUCUUUAUAUAUAGCUAUAUUUAGUAUUCUAAAAAUACUUUAAAUUUUGUUUGUAUAUUUUGAUUUGUAUAUUUUAACUAUAUAUAUGCAAUGUGUAGUGUAGAAAAGCAUAUGUAAACAAUUAUUAAUGUACAUUUAAUCUAUAACUAAUAUUCCACUACACCUUCUAGCCGUCAGCUGUCUGGUCUAAAUCAAUAAGACUUCCUGAGUAUUCCACAUCUGUGGGGUUUGAUACCAAACAUGUUGCUCUCAUUGCUGUGUUAAAGUAAUGAAGAAUUAUGAACCUAUUCUUCCCUGAUUACAUAAGGAAACAGAAUGCCCGAAUGAAAGUAAACUAAUUAAUUUAUGUUGAGGUUUAUCAAAUUGAUUUAGUUAUUGAGUGAUAUUGAAAUAUAUACUAAAGAAAUUGUUUGUAUUUUUGGACUUUGUUGCUAAGCAGACUGAAAUUUCAACAAGGAAUUUGACAAGAAUGUACAUGAUUGCUUGUGGGUAGUGUGCCGGAGUACAAAUUACCAGAUCCAAUGGCCAAGUAUAUAUUUUCAAUCAAUCAAUUUAGCAAAGUAAUCAAAUGUUAACAUUUUGUUUAAGCUGUCUGAUACCUAUCUUUGGACACUCACCAAACCUUUCUAGGAUAUUUCAGGUUUAAGGUUUGAUGUAUGUAAAAGCAGGGUCCAUCUCUAUAUUUUUCUUCACACAGUUAUGAUUUGCCAUUGAUAAUGUUUGGAAUAUAACCAUGAGAUGUCUGUCUAGCUAACAUUAUCAUUUAUGGGGUCAUUUCGAGGUAUAAUUCAAUGUACCAUGGUACAUCUUUGUUACUGCUCUUCCUGUUGUAUUCCUGAUGGGCCUGGUGGAUCCCUCGUGAGCUUUACAAGCCUUGUAUACUAUUUGUAAGCCUUGAAUAUCCCAGGUGAGCAUGAUAUGUUUGGUAAGCCUGGUAUAUCCAUGGUGAGCCUUGAGUAUCCCUGGUGAGCCUUGAAUAUCCCUGGUGAGCCUCCAUUAUCCCUGGUGAGCCUAGGAUGUUUGGUAAGCCUGGUAUAUUUAUGGUGAGCAUGGAGUUUCCCUGGUGAGCCUCGAGUAUCCCUGGUGAGCCUCCAUUAUCCCUGGUGAGCCUAGGAUGUUGGGUAAGCCUGGUAUAUCCAUGGUAAGUCUUGAGUAUCCCAGGUGAGCCUCAUGUAUCCCUGGUGAGCCUCCAUUAUCCCUGGUGAGCCUAGUAUGUUUGGUAAGCCUGGUAUAUCCAUGGUAAGCCUGGAGUAUCCCUGCUGCGCCACCUGUACCCUUGUUUAGUUGUGUAAGCAUGACGAAUUUGGUGUAACCAUGGUAACUGCUAUGUAUCUGUAAGUGAGCCUCUUGUGGCUGGAGGUCAUGGUGGUAUAACAAGUGUUCCUUUUGUGUUCAGAACACCAGUGUAUGUUCAGAUUGUUGAUUUUAGUCUUUAUUGACUGUUUAAACCAUCUAUGUCGACUCCAGACUUGUGUAAGUAUCUACCAGAGGUAAUAUUACCCCACUAUGUAACUAUGGUAAAAGUGUUUCGCCCCUAGUUUGACACCCAUGUGGGCACCGUGCGUCCCUAUGCUAUAUUCAACUCCAACCAUUUCCAAACCAUCCGUAAAUGUUACUUUUGUGGUCCCUUUUUGAAAGAGGAUUGUUCCACAUUCUGAUUCUGCAAAUUUGUAUAACCUGUGCAAUAGAUUUAUGAGUACCUCUCCAUUUUUAGUUUUAUGAAAUUGGUUUUACAGCGGUGAAAAUAAGAAAACUGCAUUCUCCUUCAUUUGGCGUUUGAUGAUUUACACACUAUCUGUGGCAUACACAAUGUUUUAUCUAAAUUUUUCACAUAUUGAGUAAUUUCCAAAUAUGUUCCGAGUACAUGUAAUAAUAUGUAAAAAUGAAUAAUUUUGAAAAUUCAACUAAGUGAUUUGGAAAAAAAAGUAAGUUUUUAAAACUGCUGGCGUGCUGGUCGAUAAACCAUCCUUACAUAUUACUGAUAUUCCAAAGAUCUAGGUACCGGUUUUGCUAAAAGUGGGUCUUGUGUAAAUGGUUAUACCUUUGUCCAAGAUGGUUCCCCUUUAAGAUGACGUUGUUGUCAUUACUGCCAUUCUUGACACUAAUGCGGACGGACAGUCAUUUUACCAAAUACUACCCCCAGGUAAAGUUCAGGUAUGAAGCAAUUAAAAUUGCCUUUGUUGGCAGUUUAUUGUGUUUUCAGUGUGGUCAUUAUUCACGAUGACCAUCCUACUUAUCACAAUUUAAAACUCCAUCACGAGAGUUCAUCGGACACUUGUUUAAAUACAAGAAUUUUAUGACAAGGAGAAGAUAGAUUGUAUUAUUUUGAAGACAAAAUUCUCAUUUCUGUUCUUGUAUUAUUGAAAUUAAUGUUUUUGUAGUUUUUGAUUUAAGGUUAUUUAAAAGGUGGACCUAUAUUUUUUACUUUGCAUGGUAUAACCAAAUCGCCUAUAGAUGUAUCAAUGACUGAUACGUUCUGCAGGUUUGUCUUUAGCAAUGUUGAUGUCGACUGGUGACCUGGGCUUUGUUCAGUAUUUACAUGUCAUCUAGGUUUGACGUGUAUCGGAUGUAGGUGACCUGUACUCUUUUACAGCGUGCAGUUUCCGUUGUUUGACGUAUGUCAGAUUGCAAUUGGUGACCUGCACCUCCUCCAGUACUGGGUAUUAAAUGCCCUUGUUCUUGCUAUUUCCAUGUAUUGUUGGAUAUGUUAUGUUUUAAGAAAAUCAUUUACAAUUGGAACUUGUUUUAUAUAUCUGGCGAUCGUUCUGAAUUCCUACGAGCUGAAGUAUUACAGAGGCCAAACAGCUUUGAUAUUAUUUAACCGCAUGUUUGUAACAUUCCUGGGCCUGGCUGUAUGUCCAGCCCUUGACGCUGUGAUUGUUUAGUAGUCAAUCAAUAUACGUAUUACAACUCAAAUAUCUAUCAAAAUUGGAAUCAAAAUCAACAGGAUUAUGUUUGGAAAACAUUUUGUUUUUUGCUUUUUCAAUGUAAUAUGACUUUUAGAAUGUAUUUCUUGUAUCUUAUUUUCCCACCAUAUUAAAAUCAAAUUAUUUACCAUUCAUACAACAUUAAUUCAUUUUAUUGUUUUAUUGUGAUUUUAUAGAUUGCUUUAAUCAAUGUUUAUAAUAUUUCAGUAGUUUGUAGAAGUUAUAAUUUUCUCGAUGUAUACUACAAUGUUAGACAUUUUUAUAUCAAUCUGUUUUAUGAAACUAAUGACAUUUUCUCUUUAUUGACCGGAAGCAUUUAUUGCAUGAACUAGGUUUUGGAAUGAUAACCCAUAAAUUUGAAGCAAAAAAAAACAUAAUUUAUCAAACGAAUACUAGUAUGUUAUGACAGUUAUGGUAAUAAUUUGUAAGAAACAUUAAAUUUAUACCAUCGGCAUUGUUUUGAUGAAGCAUAUUUUUCUUCAUAUUUUAAAACAAUUUCUAUCUGCAUGUUAUAGUGGUGUUUAGAGAACACCUAGACAAUGCCAUACAACAGCUACACAAACGCAAUCUAAUCGAAAUUAUAUCUUCACAUCGCUCCCGUCUACUGAUAUGUCGCGUUAUAUCCGAAAACGGGAGCUAUGUGAAGAUAUAAUUUCAAUAAGAUUGACACAAACGUCACAAAUGUGAUCAUUAUAGGAUAACUCGUUCUUAGUAUCAAAUUAAUCCGAAAAUCAUGAUGCUAGUAUUUCUGUUAUCUUUUUCGAGAAAAAGUUUUACCCAGUUAAAUGUGUGAUGAUAGUUUUCCUUGUUAGUAUAUGUAUGUGUCAGUGCUUUAAGCGGUGGGCGGGGCUAGUCUGUGUGCCAUGUUUUGAUGUGCUCAUUCACGUGUAGGGUCUGCAUGGUCUACGCCAAUAUACCAAGUCACUUGAUUUAAGUUGAUCACGGAAAAUUGUUAGUUAAUGCACUAUAUGUGUCUGUUGUCUUGGUACAUGAACUUAGAUCUUGGUCAGAUUUUAAAUUCUGUGCCAGAACGUUUGAUCCAUUCGGCACAACAAUUAAAGUUACACGUUGGAUUGUAAUAUUUAUAUAUUUUUUAAUACUAAUAGAAAGGUACACAAGGUAACAUUGAAUGAAUUCGAUCUGAACUUUUUUCAGGACUUGUAUUUGAAAUUAUAUUUACUUAAAUGUUUCGUACGUUUUUUAGUUUUUAGUUAUCAUUUUAUUAUAUACAAACAUAUAUACUUUAUAGACUGUACCCGGCACAGGCCAUAGGCAGAUUUACUUGUCGACCAUACGGGGUACAUGCAUUUCAUGUAUUACAUGGACGUUAAUUUAUUUAAAGAAUCGCAUGAUUCACACUGUAACGUGAACUAUUAUAUAUCAUUGUCGGCCAUGUUAUCACGUGACUUUGUCUUAUUGUCGUAUUCUAAUUUUGAGAUUGAAAUUAUUUAAAAAAACCAAAUCUAAAGUAGUAAUUUACAAAACGGACACUUGGUAUUUAUCCAAAGAAUGAUGUAGCAAACGAGAGUGAAUGACCUAGGUCUGUGUAUAUAAAGGUGUUGGCAAUAGUUAGGUAGGCCACACACCAGUGCCAACCUAGUCGGGUGUUAUUGCGGCAAGGCCCCAUAUAAUGCACUAGGUGUCUUGAUUUUUAUUUAUUUUAAGCAUAAAUAUUGUUUAAGUGGCAAGAUGAAUACAAGGUUUUAACACGAAAUUGGGUUUGUCUCAUCAAAUACCGCUAAACAAUGAGACGCAUACCAAUCCAGAUUGUUUAAUCACGGACUUAGAUAAUCUAAUUCCGUGGUUUAAUCAAAUAUUAGAAGGAUAAAUCACACGAAACUAUAAUAAAUAAAUAAUUGUAACAAAAGUUGAUUUUCUAGAAAAUAUUGGGAAAUGGUUAAUAUUCCGUGUGUAUAACUUAAUGAGUUAUUGCUUCCUACAACCAUUGUUUCAGAAGGUUCAUGGCCCUUGAAUACAUGUUAAUCGUAAUCGAUACACGAGCCCGUGACUGCUGUGUCGGAUAAACGUCGUUGUUUGUAUCGAGAUGAGACACCUAGUUGUCGUCCAGUGUGUUUAUAUGGUUAUGGAGUAGAACUAUAUGCAAGUUUGUACACUUUUUUGAGCUUAGUGUAUUCUCAUCGUUAUUCAAACUUGUUAACACAUCAUUCAUUAAACAGAACAUAUUCUA
rnacentral:misc_RNA from 1 species